ACAAAGAAGGACGAUAGAGUCUACUGAAUUGAAGAUUGUGAGUCUAGUAAAGACAUUGUCUUGGAACUCCACUUGUUCUCUACAUUAAUGGGAAUGGUGGCUUUCUUGAGCGAAUGAAAGGAACUGGGGUUGAUGUGAUUGGGCUGGAUUGGACAGUGGAUAUGGCAGAUAGAAGGAAACAUUUGGAAAUGGAAUUAGCAUACAAGGAAAUGUGGAACAUGCCUGUUUAUUUUCUACUCUUCCUGCUUUGAUUGAUGGAAUUAAAAGGUUUGUGAUGAGAACUAAAACUUGGGACUGAACUUUUCCUGUCAAUUACUGCCUAUACCCGAUGACUUAGGAAUAACUACUAGAUGUUUGGAUAUUGACUUGCCUACUUGUUUUUUUCUUCUUUUUGUACAUAUGACCAAAUUUGAUGUUUGUAUUGAUUUCACAUGAUUCUGGGAACUUCUUUAAUUAAAUUAUUAAUCAAAUUUGAUUUCACAG